rnacentral:rRNA from 1 species
GAUGAACGCUAACGGCAGGCCUAACACAUGCAAGUCGAGGGGUAGCAGGAUUAAGCUUGCUUAAUUGCUGACGACCGGCGCACGGGUGCGUAACGCGUAUGCAACCUACCUUAUACUGGGGUAUAGCCCGGAGAAAUUCGGAUUAAUCCCCCAUAGUACUAAUGAAUCGCAUGGUUUAUUAGUUAAAGCAUUGCGGUAUAAGAUGGGCAUGCGUCCUAUUAGCUAGAUGGUGAGGUAACGGCUCACCAUGGCCACGAUAGGUAGGGGGCCUGAGAGGGUGGUCCCCCACACUGGUACUGAGACACGGACCAGAUUCCUACGGGAGGCAGCAGUGAGGAAUAUUGGUCAAUGGGCGCAAGCCUGAACCAGCCAUGCCGCGUGCAGGAAGAAUGCCCUAUGGGUUGUAAACUGCUUUUAUUUGGGAAUAAACCUCUUUACGUGUAGAGAGCUGAAGGUACCAAAUGAAUAAGCACCGGCUAACUCCGUGCCAGCCGCCGCCGUAA